rnacentral:rRNA from 1 species
UACGUAGGGGCCGAGCGUUGUCCGGAGUUAUUGGGCGUAAAGCGCGCGCAGGCGGCUUCGCGCGCCCCGCCGUGAAAGCCCCCGGGCUUAACCGGGGAGAGUCGGUGGGGACGGCGGAGCUUGAGGGCGGGAGAGGUCGGUGGAAUUCCCGGUGUGAGUGGUGAAAUGCGCAGAUAUCGAGAGGAACACCUGGCGGCGAAGGCGGGUUGCUGGGCUGACACUGACGCUGGAAGCGCGAAAGCUAGGGGAGCGAACGGG